CCUCUCUCCUCUCUCCCUCGAGUCGACCCUCUAUUCCUUUCUCUUCCUCUCAGAACCCAGCUCUAAUUUCUUGAAUCCAGCCCCAAUUGUAUAAAAUCUUUGGCCAUUCCAAUCCCAAAAACACGAUCUACGCAAGAUGCAAACCUCACCAACAUGAAUUUUAACCCCAAUAUCAUUUGAUUUUCGAAAUCCCCAAAUCCUUCCACCCAACCCUAGCUGCUUGUUUGAACUUUGAAGUGGUUGCUCAGAUGCUUGUACGGUGUUGAAGUGGUGGUUCAGAGCAGAAAAAAAUAGGUCAAGGAUGGAGCCGAUGGACAUCGUUGGAAAGUCAAAAGAAGAUGCCUCGCUUCCGAAAGCAACUACUGCGCUGCAUUUGGGAGGUGCAAACUCUUCUACAACAACUGCUACUUGAAGAUUUGGAUGCUGCAAACUAUUGGUGCUGAAGAUAUAGCGGCUUGUUUUUUGUCAAGUGAUUGAAGUCAUCAAAUCAGUGAAUCAGAAGCAGAUUUUUGUUUGUUUGUAGUUCCUAUUAUGAAGUUAUGUAAUAUUUAAGUACACGUUUAGACUUUGAAAUCAGUCACGCACAUGAUUUCUGAACUUGUGUUCUUGUAAUGUGGAACUGGAGAAAAGCUAAACUAGAGAAACAUCAAGUCUAGAACUCUAUAAGAAGGUGAGAAAUAGGCUUGAUGAAGAUAUAUUAUCGGUGCUGAGUUGAGUAAUUGGUA